UUGAAACUUGUCCACUCCUUACGGGGGAGACAGUCAUGAGACGUGAGUAUAAGACCUGAGUGUAAAGACCUUAGGGUGAAGCAAUUGGAGGGCAAGCUUUGGUGCCAGCAGCCGCGGUAACUCCAACUCCAAGAGUGUCUAUGGUGGAUGCUGCAGUUAAAGGGUCCGUAGUCGUGAAUGCAAUUAAAUGUCGUUGUUCAAUAGCGAUGAGUUUGCUAAUGUUUGCGGAACGGAUAGGGAGUGUAGUAUAGACUGGCGAAGAAUGAAAUCUCAAGACCCAGUUUGGACUAACGGAGGCGAAGGCGACACUCUUAGACGUAUCUUAGGAUCAAGGACGAAGGCAGGAGUAUCGAAAGUGAUUAGACACCGCUGUAGUUCCUGCAGUAAACUAUGCCGACAGCCUGUGUGUGAGAAUACGUGGGCGGGAGAAAUCUUAGUGUUCGGGCUCUGGGGAUAGUACGCUCGCAAGGGUGAAACUUAAAGCGAAAUUGACGGAAGGACACUACCAGGAGUGGAUUGUGCUGCUUAAUUUAACUCAACGCGGGAAAACUUACCAGGGUCAAGUCAUUCGUUGAUCGAAUACGUGAGAAUGGCAGGAGUGGUGCA
rnacentral:rRNA from 1 species